ACUCUCUUUUUAGAGGUCCGACCCCUUCAUUUCCAUACACUGUGCACACACUUCUUUUCACACACUUUAACACUAUAGUAUAAGAAUGUAACAGUCUCUUUAUUGAGCAUAAAUAAAAAUAAAACUUUCAGCAACGGAUCUCUUGGCUCUCGCAUCGAUGAAGAACGCAGCGAAUUGCGAUAAGUAAUGUGAAUUGCAGAAUUCAGUGAAUCAUCGAAUCUUUGAACGCACCUUGCACUCUUUGGUAUUCCGAAGAGUAUGUCUGUUUGAGUGUCAUGAAACUCUCAACCCCCCUAUUUUGUAAUGAGAUGGGCGUGGGCUUGGAUUAUGACUGUUGUCGGCGUAAUUGCCGGCUCAGUUGAAAUACACGAGCAACCCACUUGAAAUAAACGGUUUGACUUGGCGUAAUAAUUAUUUCGCUAAGGACGUUUUCUUCAAAAGUAAGAGGUGCUUCUAAUGCGCUAUUGCAGCACUUUAAAUUUUAGACCUCAAAUCAGUCAGGACUACCCGCUGAACUUAAGCAUAUCAAUAAGCGGAGGA
rnacentral:rRNA from 1 species